ensembl:lncRNA
GAGGAGAUCAAAGCAUGUAUUAGGUUUAAGCACAUUUUACUAAUACCAACGUGUUCAUGCCUGGAUGCUCCAAGUGACCUGAGUUUCUUCUCACUUCCCAGUGCAGGACAAGGGAGGUGUGCUGUAGCGAUGUGCAGAUCCUGUCAGUGGAUGAAUGUACAGCUGAAAAAUACUCUCAGAAAGAGGAAUAGGACUGUUGUGUUAAUGCAAGGCAUAGGAUGAAGUGGAAACACGAAGCACCAAAUGUUGUGGUCUAUUUUCAGCUCUUAGGAACAAGGGAAUUCUGCGUGUGACAGUCCUCCCCCAUUCAAUCCCACUUCUUCUGACUCCACUAUGGUGCUGCUCUGAUCCCUGCAUCCAAAGCCUCAAGCAAAGCACUUCAGAGAAGAUCAGCCUGCAGAAGUGGCACCAAGGUAAUUGUCAGGGGCAUCUCUGUACUGCUAUCCUGGUACAGCUCUGUACUGGUCCUUGCAGCCGCAGUACGGCCAGCGUGGUAAGGAUGUAUAUCACUGUACAGAUGUUAUUUAAAAUAUCAACGAUACCUUGGUCACUCCAAAGUGGAGAGAUGCCCUGGGAGUAGGGUGGGGUAGUGUCAGCAAAACCACCUUUGUUUUUGUACAGCUACCUGAAAAUACAUCAGCACGUCAGCAGAAGUUAUAAGGGCCCAAUGAUGGAUUUACCUAGAACAAUGAUGUUUCAUUGCAGAGCUACAGCAUUUCAGUGUAGAAGUAUACAUGUUUUCAUGCAGAACUACUCCUGUUAGUUCCUAUAGAACAGUAACCCUUCCUACUUGCAGCUUUUUGCAGCAUUUUAAUUGCUAUUGCAUUACAGAGAUGAAGUGUCUGCUGUAUGACUGUAAAUACAGCUGGUAUUGCAGUGCUUGUCAUUGACAGAGAAAAAAAUAUCCAACUAACAUUUGCUAACAUGUUCACUAGCACCAGAAUCCUCUUGAAAUACAUUUACAGGGGGCAAAGCUCAAUACAAAUACACGUGCAGCAGCUGAUACACUUCUUUCAGCCUGAGGCUAUGCAACUUUUACAUAUCAAAUAGCAACAAAUGUUAUCUACAGGCUCGUAAGGGGAGGAGCAGUGAGCAAGCUGAGGCAUUUCAAACACUUUCAGAGAUUACUUUGCAAUAAACUGCACAUGGGCUGGCUCACAGCCAGGAGGAAAUCUUUGUGAGCAAUCAGGAGGAGAUGUGGUGCUGCCACGAGACAUUCAGGGCUGGAAAAGCAAUGCUAACUGGUUGUGCUGAAGGAGUCUCAGACCACUGCUGCCACUCAGAUGUGGCCUCUGCAGAGCCCUGCGUGGCUGGGAUGUGGGCUUGGAUCCAGCCUAGGUCACCUGUGUCACCGCGGUGCCUCCCAGAGCAGUGCAAUAGGGUGAAACCAUUUGGACUUCGAGUCCCGUGGAGUACCUUUGGAACUAAUUCACAGCCCAUGAGGCAGAGACCCAUUCACUUUGCCCUGCAUACCAUGGUGCCUGCAUCCAGAGCUCGGAGGUGCAACAGAGGAUGGUGAAAGGCCAGCAGAUAUCAGAAAAGUAGAAAUUUUUUAUAGAACUUCUACUAUCCAUUGGUACGACACGACACGUAUUCAGCACUGCAAGAGCCAGCCCAAGUUGUUUCUGAUGUACCUUCAGACAUCAAAACUGAAAGAUUUUACUUUAAUAACAGAGAGCUUUGGAACCAACUCCUCUCCCUUUGAAUCCAUAACUUGUUCUCACUACACAUGAAGGUUUUCAGUGUGAUGGCAGCCCCCAGUCUACCCUCACUCACUUAUGUUUUCCCACGUGCCGAGAUGAAGCUUUGACACUCCUCUCCCUCUGCAGAGAGAGCACAGCGUUUACAUUUACAGGAACGGAGCUGUGCUUACAUAACGCUUCAGACAAUGCCAAGUCGAAUGACUGACAGAGGAAAAUCUUCUGUUAAAAAUAUAUUUUUCGUCUUUCCCAGAGAUCUAAUCUAUCUUCUGUGCAUUCCUGACCUUCAGAAAGUAUUUCCAUCUCUCACAUUAAGUAUAGCAAUCCUCUUAACAAGGGAACAUUUUGUUAGAGCUUUAAAUUGGGUUACGUAAAUUAUUUGUAGUUCUGACAGCAGGUUUCUCUUCCGUCCACAAGGACGGAUGGCUGUUAGGAGAUUGCUACAAGGUUCAUUUGCAAUCACAGCAAAUAAUCAUCUGAAGGCACUGUUUGGAAUGGGAUCUUACCUAGGGAUACCCGGUACGUUUAGUAAGGUAUAAAAGCUUUUGUAAAAGCAGCAUCUUUGAUAAAUAAUUUGCAGUACAGUAACCUUCACACAAUUUAAAAAACAAAAAAACAACUGAUGUGAAUGGUAAGUUAAAGAAAAAAGAAUAACUUCCAACUCCCAUAAACUUUAGGAGGAACAGAACACAGAUGGGAAAAAAAAUCUAUUUAUCUAUAGAAACAGAGAGAGCACACAGCUCCCUGCCAGCAGUGCUGCCUGGCACCAAGUGCAUGCCAGCCCCUGAGCUUACCCUUGCUGGCUACAAUGGGAAUCGAGAGCGGUCAGGAUUGGGCGCUUUGCAUCCACUCAAGUACUUGCUCAGAAAAAAAGAGCACAGAAUAGAAAAGUUGUUCAAGAAGUACCAGCACUACCUUUAGCACUGCAUUAGAAGGCUCUGCGACUGAAGAAAGAUAUUUUUCAGUACUCUGUUCCCACUCUCCCUUCUCAGCACCUCUCCUGGUCAGAACAUGUGGAAUGGCAGUGCGGCAUCCCUCCUUCCCUCCUGCAGCCACUGUCAGGCUGACUGGGGCACUGAGUUUCUAACAGUUGCUUCAGGAGUGGGAAAAGAAGGGCAUGAUUUAUAAAUCUGGUCACACUCCUUUUUUUUUUUUUUUUUAAGGUUCCCCAUUAAAUUUGUGAGCAGCUUUAAAGAUAAGAGCAACAAACAAAUUAAGCGAUAUUUUAUUCAAAUUGAAAGCGUUUUGUUUGACUUUGGAACACGGAUCGCUUAAGGGGAAAAUUUAAAGUGGGGAUUUUCGGAUCAAAAUACGGACAUUUCAUUUUAAAAUCUCCUGAAGAGUAUCUCAGAUUUUUCUCCCUAAUGACAAGAGCAGUGAGUUACAAUUCAAGGAAGUUUGCGUAAGUUUUCAUACAAUUUUAAGCAUUAGCAAUUGGGAAAGUCCAGGAAAGCUGCUUUCUACACGGCCCUGUUGGCACUAAAUCCCUCCCCAGCAGCAGGCCAGGCACCACCAAAACCAGCCACCCUUUCUGCAGCGUGAAGGCACUACAAGAAGUGACACUUGAGAUGAGAAAGAGCGCGUGGGUUUGUUAAACCACUCACACACACAUAUGCACAAACACAAGAAGCAUUCUAAAGGUGUUCAGCGGAGGAGGACCUUUACUCACAGGACUGAACAUUUUCCCUGUGAUCUCGCUGUGAAUACUUUACCUUGGUGUUUCUAGUCCUACUGAGACAACUCGUAGCGCUGUAUUGCUUUCAUAUCCCCUCCCCUCUUUGAUGCUAAACACUUAUUUUCAGCAGUCUUUACAGAACGUCUCCCUAUUAAUUAGCAGUCCAUCUCAUAACACUUUAUCUACAGAGAAUGCAAUGCGUUAGUACUUCUUGGUACAGCCUUGGUUAUUCCUUUGAAUUAUCUGGAGGCAUUAGCUGACUAAAGUACAAUGAUUUCAUUUGCAUAAAAGACCAUCUAUUGCUAUUUUGGUUAUUCUCAAGAGAGAGCUUUUUAAAUGUUAGGUAGAAAGUUCGAUCUUAAUCCUUUAUAACUUUUCUCUCUAAACAUACAGAUCUCACAGGAGAACACACAGACAUUUAACUUACCAUUAUUGGAGCUAUCUUUUGAAUUCCUCAGUAUCAUUAAUAUUUAAGCAGAAAAGAACAGAGCGAAACAAUUAUCCUAACGACACCACACCAGAACUAACAGAAUGAUUUUUAAGAAGUCAUACAGAACAAGUGAGAAGGUCGACCAGAAAGCGCUAGUCAGGAAUAGCCGCGAUCUGAUGAGGAGGAGGAGGUUAUGUUUCUGUGACACGAGCAGUGCACAGCUGUUACUCUAGUAAUAAUUCAUCAUAUUAAUAUUUAAAUGAGAGGAGGAGGAGGAGGAGGCCAUGAGAUUGUGUGUGACUCAACGGUCCCUCCCUGUCCUUAAGCAGAAAAAUAGGCCACCAAUACGGACAGAGCAUUGGGAGCAACCGAGUGGGAAGGUUUGUUUUCAUUUCCUCUUGAAUAAAAG